rnacentral:ncRNA from 2 species
ACUUUCGUCCACGGGUGCCCGGUGCGAGUCCGGGCUGAGAUGCCGCAACGGCGGACCGUCGAACCUGAUCCGGUUAAUACCGGCGCUAGGGAGAUCCCAGUGACCACCA